rnacentral:lncRNA from 1 species
UCCAAUAUGUAGUUUUCUUACUCCCGUUGCAACGCCCGGACCCUUUUGCUAGUAAUAAUAAAGCAGAUAUUGCUUCUGUCGUAUGUCCUGACAUUUUUACAAAAACACCCCUUGAUUUUAUUAAAAUCAACCCGCGGUCCUUCAGUAAUCAGUAAGUGAAAAAAUGUUUUGCUUUUUUAUAAAAAAAACACAGCGGUCACCCCCUUCUCCUCCUCCCCUCGCCGCCACACGUUUGUGCUCGCGGGGCAAAGCCACCGCGCGGAUCCGACGAUGGUUGGGCCUCUCGCACGCUGGAGCGGCUCGGCCGCGAGCGAGGGCUCGUGCGGCGCCCGUUUGUGUUCGCCGGACAAAGCCCUCGCGCGGAUCCAUCGGUNNNN